rnacentral:tRNA from 1 species
GCCCCUAUCGUCUAGAGGCCUAGGACACGAGCUUUUCAAGCUUGGAACACGAGUUCAAAUCUCGUUGGGGGCA